GUGGGUAGCGGUGAAAUUCCAAUCGAGCCCGGAGAUAGCUGGUUCUCCCCGAAAUAGCUUUAGGGCUAGCCUCAAGGUGAGAGAUACGGAGGUAGAGCACUGAAUGUCCUAGGGGGUAUUGCACCUACCGAAGACUAUCAAACUCCGAAUGCCGUCAUCUUAUCCUUGGGAGUCAGACUGUGGGUGAUAAGAUUCAUAGUCGAAAGGGCAACAGCCCAGAUCGUCAGCUAAGGUCCCUAAAUGUAAGUUAAGUGGUAAAGGAUGUGGGAUUGCACAGACAACCAGGAUGUUGGCUUAGAAGCAGCCACUCAUUCAAAGAGUGCGUAAUAGCUCACUGGUCGAGUGAUCCUGCGCCGAAGAUUUCCGGGGCUAAAACUUACUACCGAAGCUACGGCAUCAGUAAUGAUGGGUAGGGGAGCUUCCCAUACGGGUUGAAGCAUGACCGUAAGGACAUGUGGACAGUAUGGGAGUGAGAAUGUUGGCAUGAGUAGCGAGAUGUGGGUGGGAAUCCCACAGGCCGUAAACCCAAGGUUUCCAGGGGAAGGUUCGUCCGCCCUGGGUUAGUCGGGACCUAAGCUGAGGCCGAAAGGCGUAGGUGAUGGACAACAGGUUGAUAUUCCUGUACUACCGAUAACCGUUUGAGAGAAGGGAUGACACAGUAGGAUAAGCUAAGCACACUGUUGGUUAUGUGUGCCCAAGCAUUGAGG
rnacentral:rRNA from 1 species